rnacentral:ncRNA from 1 species
UCACGCACAGGGCAAACCAUCUGAAAAGGUGGGACGCAAAGCCUCCGGCCUAAACCACGAUAAGUGGUAGGUAGCGGGGUUACCGAU